GGGCACUUUCUUCCUGCGGCCGUGGAGAGAAGCCAGGCUGCCGUCCUGGCCAGUGCGGCUUCCUCUACUUUUUUUUUUUCCCCCUUCUUUUCAUCCCACGCAUCACAUGGGUUGGGCUCCCUACGUUGGGGACCUGGCUUACUCGACGCUCAUCAUCAUAGGUCUGACACUUAGUCGAUGUAGCUAUCCCCACCUCAGGGCAACAAGACUCGGGCUGGCAGACAGACUGGGGAAGCCAACCUGCUUCCUGCUGGUUCCUAAACUGAGCUUGGAAGGAAGAGGAAAGAGCUGCAGAGGCGGAGACUCUGACCCCAAAGCGAUCGAGGGCCCUCCCCUGGCUUCCGUGUCCCUGUGGCAGGCGGUGGUGGUCGAAAUCUCUGCCCCUCAGAGUCCUGGGGAGGAUGGAUGGAACAGGAGGAGCAUCAUGAGAAGGCUUCCUGUAAACUACGGAGGGUGAGGGGACGGAGCGUGAGGGAACGUCGUGAGAUGGUGCUCGUGGAAGCCAGCAGAGGGUGUAGGGUCUCCUGGAGCCACAUCUCUGGAGUUACAUGAAGUUGUGGACCUCUCAACAUGGGUUCUGGGAACUGAACCCAGGUCCUCUGGAAGGACAUCGAGUGCUCUUAACCACUGAGCCAUCUCUGCAGCCUAACCCCAUCCCUUGGAGGCUGAAGCAAAGCAAGUUCAAUGACCGUGCGACCUGGCUCUUGUUUGGGCCUAAGGAAAAGCCGACUGUAAGCCGGGAAGCAUCUCUGGCAAGAACAAGGAAGGAUUAAGCACGUCUGUGGUUGUGCGCAGGGAUCACAAGGUGCUCCUGCAGUGGGAAGAGCCACCACUAGGGGCGCUCCAAGUCUUGUAUUUUCUACCUUGAAAACUCGUUUCCCUGUGGCUGCCCUCCAAAUCCAACGGAGAUGAAUGGCUUUUAGUUUACCUAGCUGAUUUAAUAAACUUUAAAAAUAAA
rnacentral:lncRNA from 1 species